rnacentral:rRNA from 1 species
CGUGUAGGCGGCCUCUUAAGUCUGGUGUGAAAGCCCGGGGCUUACCCCCGGAAGGGCACUGGAGACUGGGAGGCUAGAGUACCGGAGAGGAGGGUGGAAUUCCUGGUGUAGCGGUGAAAUGCGUAGAUAUCAGGAGGAACACCGGUGGCGAAGGCGGCCCUCUGGACGGAUACUGACGCUGAGACGCGAAAGCGUGGGGAGCAAACAGGAUUAGAUACCCUGGUAGUCCACGCUGUAAACGAUGGGCACUAGGUGUUCGGGGUAUUGACCCCCUGAGUGCCGCAGCUAACGCAUUAAGUGCCCCGCCUGGGGACUACGGCCGCAAGGUUAAA